rnacentral:rRNA from 1 species
AAAUUGAAGAGUUUGAUCAUGGCUCAGAUUGAACGCUGGCGGCAGGCCUAACACAUGCAAGUCGAACGGUAGCACAGAGGAGCUUGCUCCUUGGGUGACGAGUGGCGGACGGGUGAGUAAUGUCUGGGAAACUGCCCGAUGGAGGGGGAUAACUACUGGAAACGGUAGCUAAUACCGCAUAACGUCGCAAGACCAAAGAGGGGGACCUUCGGGCCUCUUGCCAUCGGAUGUGCCCAGAUGGGAUUAGCUAGUAGGUGGGGUAACGGCUCACCUAGGCGACGAUCCCUAGCUGGUCUGAGAGGAUGACCAGCCACACUGGAACUGAGACACGGUCCAGACUCCUACGGGAGGCAGCAGUGGGGAAUAUUGCACAA